UACGUAGGGUGCAAGCGUUAUCCAGAUUUACUGGGCGUAAAGCGCACGCAGGCGGAUGAUUAAGUCAGCUGUGAAAGCUCCCGGCUCAACUGGGAAGGGUCGGCUGAAACUGGUCGUCUGGAGGGCAACAGAGGAGUGUAGAAUUGCGGGUGUAGUGGUGAAAUGCGUAGAUAUCCGCAGGAAUACCAGUGGCGAAGGCGGCACCCUGGGUUGUACCUGACGCUGAUGUGCGAAGGCUAGGGGAGCGAACAGG
rnacentral:rRNA from 1 species